AUUGCGCUUGGCCUUUUCCCUUUUGCUGGGACCUGCUUCACCAUUAUCAGCGAAUCAGGAGUCCGGACUGGCAACUGCACAUCGCGAAUGAUAUACACGGAGACCUCUCCCUUCUUCCGCCCUGGGAAGAACUGGUAGAGUGGCUGCAGGAAGAUGCUAUCCUGAAGAUACUCUAUUCACCUAUCCGCAACGGGAAAGGUACGUGAUUCCCAGCGUUCUGCCCUUUUUGUUUUUUUUUAACGUUUUCUUUGCUGCCGAUUAUCGCCUUUUGUUUACUCUGUUUCUUUCCGUGCGCUUUUUCGGCCCCCAAAACACGGA
rnacentral:sRNA from 1 species